CGGCAGUUUUGGCAUGUCUUGAAAAAUGCAAAACAAUAUAUUGAAACAUUUUUUUUUACCAUAAGGUUUGUUUAGGCAAACACAAAAUGUGCUAACCAAUGAUUCUCAGAUACUACUCCUUAAGGUUAUACGAGCAUUAUUAAUGUUAAGUGCAGCUUGAAAACUGUUAACCCAUAGUUAAUAUGCAUCUUUUAACAUGAUUUCCAACAGUUCAUAUAUACUACUGCUUUAAAACUGCUGAUCAAUAAAAAAAAAAUGUCUUCACAGUUUAUAUUUACUGAUGCUUUAAAACUGUUACCCAGUUUAUCUUUACUGAUGCUUUAAAACUGUUAACCAUAGUUUAUAUAUACCAAGGCUUAUAAACUGUUAUCCAUAGUUUAUAUUUAAUGAUGCUUUAAAACUGUUACCCAUAGUUUAUAUUUACUGAUUCGUUAAAACUGUAACCCCAUAGUGUAUAUUCACCGCUGCUAUAAAACUGUUAAUCCAUACUUUAUAACUACUGUUGUUUCAAAACUGUUAAUCCACAGAUGAUAUUUGUAUUGCUGCUUUAAAACGUUUUAUCCACAUUUUAUAUCUACUGCUGUAAAUAAAACCUUUUAACAAGAGAUUGAAAAUAAACUAAUCA
rnacentral:lncRNA from 1 species